CGUGGGAAGCUGAGCGCUGACCCGGAGGCCUGGUGGGGUGGUUGCUGGGCCGACGCAGGACUGUCCCGGAGCGGGCGCGGGGCUGCAACCUGCUCUCUCCCUGCCCCACCCCUCUUGGCUUCCAUUGCAGUUGGGUUAUAGCAGUCCGGGCGUCCGUCGGUGGGAGCCUCUCUGCCCAGUGGCCUGGACCGAGAGUGUGCCAAGUUGCCUGGAAUGGGAGUUUGGGUUCCUGUCCUGUGUCUGAAGCUAAGCAUGUGGACUGUUGAAGACUUUACAAGGACAUCAUUCCCAUCAGCCUCAAGGGAAGAGGCUAAUCCCCUUGAAGCAGCAGAGCUGGGGCUAAGAAUCUUGUCACCCCUGCACAUCUGCCUGGGACCUGGAUCUUUGUCAGGGGUCAAGGUUCACAUGGCUGGAGAGAAGAGCCCCUGGGCUCCUAGUUCCUGGCCUGGCUAUGACCAACUACAUGACUUUGGGCCAGUCCCUUUACCUCUCUUAGCCAUCGGCAAGACUGGAAUAAAUGUAAGCUUCUUGGGCUGUCGUAAGGCCAGGUACAAAGGUGUUCUGUCAACCAAGAAAAGCAGAAAGUGUGUCAGACUGACCAGAGGGAGCCCACCUGUUUUGCCCACUGCCUGGAUUCUGCUUGGUAUCUGUCCAGCCUGAACUGUUGAGUGGACCCCCACCCCCACCCCCACCCUGGAUCCCUCCUCCCACCAAGAAGAUUAAUAAGAAAGUCACCAUCAUUGCUGUGUCAGCUUGGGAAGCAGAAAGCUAAGAUAAAAUCAAAAGCAAAACAUUGACAGAACUAUCCUGUGUCAUUUCAAGGAACAACUGUGCUUCCCUUCAGUAGUCCAGAUGGUCUUGACCUCUCCAGUGUUUGGGGGUAUCAUUUCCCCUUAAUUCUAAAAUAGCAACAGCUCCCAUCCCAUGGCUCUUGACUUUCCAUUCCCAGAUAACUUCUGGGGUCCCCCAAGGAAGCCUCCCACUGCCCCAGAGUCAUCUCAGGGGCCUCACUGGUCACUCCUAGUGUCUCAGGGCUGUUGCCACUGGGCUGCUGCUUGCUUCAAGAGUGGACACAGGUCCAUUUUUAAGUGCUAUAGGCUUGCAAAAAACAGAAGUACCCAGGAGAGAAUAAUGAAGUAGCCACCAAAAGCACAUGCAGAGAAAACCACUUGGGGGUGGUGGGAAUUAUGGAAGUACUUCACAAUAAUUGGAUCCCAUGAGGGUGUAAGCCAAAUCUCCUGAGACCAUUUUUUUUUUUCAUGAGACCAUUUUUGAACUUAUCUUUUACUUUGUCACUUCCGCUCUUAAAUACUAUAGUUUUUCCUUGACCCUCUUCCCUCAAAGUAUUAAAAGGUAUGAAAUAUAAACAAGCUCUUGCAUUGUGUACUUUCAGGUGUAUGAUUCAAGCAUUAUAGAGCUAUCUACAUAAUGAUAAAAACCACUAAUUCUUGGAUAAUUCAAUAAUAAACAAAACAUCAGGGCACAGACAGAAUUAAGAGCCAUCUCUUUUUGUUGCAUGUAGGUUGCAAAUAAUCUAAAGAAAAACACAAUCAUUUUGACUCUCCUCUACAUUUGCAUGUUGAUACCCUUAUUAAAAUA